UAAAAGUUGGGUGGGGCAGCACGGUGUACAAGUGGUUUGCACGUUCCUCACAGUUCUCAGGUUCUGGGUUUGAAUGUUGUCCCUGCGCUUCUCUCUCUGUGUGUGUGUGUUUUUUCCGGGUACUCCAGCUUCCUCCCACAUUCCAAAAACAUGCAUGAAGACUCUCAGUUGUCCAUAAAUUUUGACAGUAAACCGCAAAUGGGAGUGGUAUUAAACGUGUUGAAGCCUCCUUUUGGAAGUAUUGUUUUACUGUCUGCCAAACUGCAGUUUGUUGUGAAGUGAGUAGAGUUGACUGCCGCCAUAUGGCCCUCGUAUGUCAAGAAUUUGCUAGGUUCAGACAAACAUGGAUGCACACAAAAUUGUGGCGAGACCACCACCAUCACCUCGCCUCCCUGUGACAAUGGACGCAGGUUGAAUAAAGCAAACAGGCUAAAUCAUAAGUG